CAAGACAUGCUAUACAUUUCUAUCCCUUUUUGUUUUUUCUUUAAUAGAUUUUUUUUUUGAAUCGUCGGUCAUUUUUAGAACAACCAGUAUAAAAAAAUAUUCCAUUUUUAAAGGAGUGGACGAGAAAAAACAUCUGAAGGAAAGGCCACAGUCCCGAAUUCCGAUGAACCAGCAAAAUUAAAAGUUCGCUUUGAUAUAUUAUCCUUCUCAUCAGAUUACUGGGUUUUGGAUACCAACUAUGAUGAGUAUACUGUGGUAUACAGUUGUUUUAACAUGCUGAAAGGUUAUGAAACUGAAUUCGUCUGGAUUAUGUCUCGAUCAACAACUUUAAGUGAAGCCACAAAGGACAAAGCUUACAAGCUGCUAAAAGCCUAUAACAUCGAUACUGAAAACCUAAGAACAACUGAUCAAGACUGUUGAAAAUUCUUCUGUGUUUAAUGUAAAUAAAGAAGAAAAUUUCUUUUGGAA